GAUCCUGGCUCAGAAUCAACGCUGGCGGCGUGCCUAACACAUGCAAGUCGCACGAGAAAGCGGGCUUCGGCCUGCAAGUAAAGUGGCGCACGGGUGAGUAACACGUGAAUGAUCUACCUCCGAGUGGGGAAUAACCUAGAGAAAUCUGGGCUAAUACCGCAUAACACUUACGAGUCAAAGCAGCAAUGCGCUUGGAGAGGAGUUCGCGGCAGAUUAGUUAGUUGGCAGGGUAAUGGCCUACCAAGACGAUGAUCUGUAUCCGGCCUGAGAGGGCGCACGGACACACUGGAACUGAAACACGGUCCAGACUCCUACGGGAGGCAGCAGUGGGGAAUUUUGCGCAAUGGGGGAAACCCUGACGCAGCAACGCCGCGUGGAGGAUGAAAUCCCUUGGGAUGUAAACUCCUUUCGAUCGGGACGAUUAUGACGGUACCGGAAGAAGAAGCCCCGGCUAACUUCGUGCCAGCAGCCGCGGUAAUACGAGGGGGGCAAGCGUUGUUCGGAAUUAUUGGGCGUAAAGGGCGCGUAGGCGGUUUGACAAGUCUGAUGUGAAAUCUCUGGGCUCAACCCAGAGUCUGCAUUAGAAACUGUCGGGCUUGAGUAUGGGAGAGGUGAGUGGAAUUUCCGGUGUAGCGGUGAAAUGCGUAGAUAUCGGAAGGAACACCUGUGGCGAAAGCGGCUCACUGGACC
rnacentral:rRNA from 1 species